rfam:Streptomyces sp. WAC00263 NODE_4_length_72737_cov_125.925873, whole genome shotgun sequence.
AGUUGAGUUAGAGGUUGCAAUAUUAAAGAGUCGCUUGUCAGAAGUCUUAUGGGACGUAUGUUGAACAAGUUAAAGGUAAUAUUGCCGAAACAAAUGAUAACCAUAAUUAUGAUUUGUUGGGACAGUUGUCGAAAGAAACUGUACUGUCACAGAAUGUGAUGUGCUACCUUAUAU